GACAGAGGUGCCAAGCGUUAGGCGGAAUCACUGGGCUUAAAGCGUGUGUAGGCGGGUGCCUAAGUACCUUGUGAAAUCCCCCGGCUCAACCGGGGAACGGCUGGGUAUACUGGGUGCCUUGGGUCAUCUAGGGGCUGCCGGAACACAUGGUGGAGCGGUGAAAUGCGUAGAUAUCAUUUGGAACGCCAACGGCGAAAGCAGGCAGCUGGGGAUGCACCGACGCUGAGACACGAAAGCCAGGGGAGCGAACAGG
rnacentral:rRNA from 1 species